rnacentral:ncRNA from 2 species
AAUUACAUAAAAUUUAUGAGUGCUCAAGACCAAAAAGGUUGAGAGAUAAUAGGGAAUCCAGUGUAAUUCUGGAGCAGCCCACGCUACUGUAAAACCAGUUAAACCGGUAAGCCAGGAGACCUGCUUAUAAAUCUUGAUUUCU